UGUUACCCCAUGCCCUGGGUGUCUGGGAUGGCUCCUCCAAGGAGGGCAUGAGCAGAAGCUUUCCAGAGGCUGGAGCAGACAGAAGGUCCUAAUCUGGCUGGUGAAGGGUUUGUGCUCUGGGGCUCUGCAGGAACUUGCUCAGGACCAACUGUAAACAGGACCUGUGUGCACAAUGAAAACAAACAAGCCGGGCUGGAAAAUAUCAUGAGUCAAUGAGGCUCCUUGGGUGCCUCCGCCUUCCCUAACCCCGAGUCAGCAAAUGCUCCAGCGCUUGGCACAUCCAGGGAGAGCCCGGGGCAGCUCCAGCCUCCCUCUCCUGCUUCAUUAAAGCACCACCAGUGCAAUGUUUGAGCACUGGGCCAUCAGCACUGAAAAAUCCUGGAGGUUCCCAAUUUAGGAUUUUUCAGGGAAUAUCCACCACGACCAGGGGCAGAAACAAUAAAAUUCCAUGAGAAGAGACAAUUCCCAGAGCUUUCUGAGCCAAUAUUCUACACCUCAGAGGUUGGGAUCACUCAAAUAAAGAUCAGGACGAUAUCAGAACUUUCAGUUCUUUAUCCAAACAGCCAAGACUUUUCCAGCUGCCCCAUCACAGCUCCAUAAUCACUCGAGUUCUCUCAGUGAUGCUCAUUCCUAUUUCACAGGCUAUAAUAAACACAGCAAAAAUUUGAUGAGGUCCCA
rnacentral:lncRNA from 1 species